rnacentral:rRNA from 1 species
UACUCCUACGGGAGGCAGCAGUGGGGAAUAUUGCACAAUGGGGGAAACCCUGAUGCAGCCAUGCCGCGUGUGUGAAGAAGGCCUUCGGGUUGUAAAGCACUUUCAGUAGGGAGGAAGGUGUUGUCGUUAAUAGCGGCAGCAUUGACGUACAUCAGAGAGCAGCCC